CCGGCCCUGGUCGUCCGCCGCCAGCACGCGGUCCCCGGGGCGCAGGUCCUUCACCAGCUUGGUGCCGCCCUGCUCCAGGUGCACCGUGGCCGAGCCCGGGAAGCAGCCUCCGGAUUUGGCCGCCACCGAGUUCUCUGCGGGGACAGGAUUCCGACGCAGGCACAUUCCUUAACGACUCUCUAAGUCUGGGCUGGCGGUGACAGAGGUUGGCUGGCGUUUCCUGCAGAGGCCGAUGACACUCCUUCCUUCUGCCUUCCUCCAACCCCACCCCCAGCUCCGCACACACCCGGCCUCGCCGCGAAUCCAUCCAGAGGGUGUUUGCUCUGCACUUGGAUUCCUCAGGAAGCCUCCUUGAGCUCCCGCGGGCGCCGGGCGCACCCUCCUUCCCUCCUGCCCCGGCGCGGGGCGCGGCGCCUGCUUUCGCGCUCAGCACCCGGGCUGCGCGGCGGAAACCCCUGGCUCGCCUGCCCGCCUGCCCGCCUGCCCGCAGCACCCUGCGGCGCCUCGGCGUGGGCCUGCGGAGGGGCGGGGGCGGGGAGUGCAAAAUAGCUGCAGUAGUUGUAGCAACUGGACAAACAUUCCAGAGAUUGGCCGAGGUGUGAAAAUCCGAGGCUUGUGUGGAUUUUCUAAUUAAAAUCCAAUAAAGGG